AGACGGCUGGACGGUCGCCGCCGACUUAUGUUGGGGGAGGAAAGUCCGGGCUCCACGAAAUAACGGUGCCGGGUAACACCCGGCGGGGGUGACCUUAGGGAAAGUGCCACAGAAAGCAAACCGCCUAUUUCUGACGACGAUGUCCGAAGAGAUCAGGUAAGGGUGAAAGGGUGCGGUAAGAGCGCACCGCGUGGUUGGUAACAAUCGCGGCAUGGUAAACCCCACCAGGAGCAAAACCGAAUAGGGAUGUCACGCCCGGCAGGCUUGGCCGCACCGGGCAGGCGUGUUCGCGCCGCCAUCCGGGUAGGUUGCACGAGGCAUUCGGUGACGAAUGCCGUAGAUGAAUGGCCGUCGAUCGCCACCAAAUACCCCUGGGUAGGGCUGUGGCGUGGACAGAACCCGGCUUACAGGCCGUCUG
rnacentral:RNase_P_RNA from 1 species